rnacentral:rRNA from 1 species
UACGGGGGGAGCAAGCGUUGUUCGGAUUUACUGGGCGUAAAGGGCGCGUAGGCGGCCACCGCAAGUCGACUGUGAAAUCUCCGGGCUUAACUCGGAAAGGUCAGCCGAUACUGCGGGGCUAGAGUGCAGAAGGGGCAACUGGAAUUCUCGGUGUAGCGGUGAAAUGCGUAGAUAUCGAGAGGAACACCUGCGGCGAAGGCGGGUGCUGGGCUGACACUUGACGCUGAUUGUGCGAAAGCUAGGGGGAGCGAACGGG